CCAUUAAAGCGGUACGCGAGCUGGGUUUAGAACGUCGUGAGACAGUUCGGUCCCUAUCCGCUGUGCGCGUAGGAAUAUUGAGAAGGGCUGUCCCUAGUACGAGAGGACCGGGACGGACGAACCUCUGGUGUGCCAGUUGUCCUGCCAAGGGCAUGGCUGGUUGGCUACGUUCGGAAAGGAUAACCGCUGAAAGCAUCUAAGCGGGAAGCCUGCUUCGAGAUGAGUAUUCCCACCAACUUGAUUGGUUAAGGCUCCCAGUAGACGACUGGGUUGAUAGGCCAGAUGUGGAAGCCCGGUAACGGGUGGAGCUGACUGGUACUAAUAGGCCGAGGGCUUGUCCUCAGUUG
rnacentral:rRNA from 1 species